ACAUCAGCAAAAUCUGAUGUCGGGAUUGGCGUCCUGAAUCUAUCUAAACGGCGCAUACACCGCGCAAGCGGUUUUUUU
rnacentral:sRNA from 1 species